CAGAGUUGCAAAACUCCCAACCCUUUGUGAACGUACCUACUAGUUGCCUCGGCGGCGAGCCUUUCAGGCGGACCGCCGGAGGAAUAUAAACUCUUUGCAUUAUAGUAUCUCUGAUUACUUAUUUAAUAAGUUA
rnacentral:misc_RNA from 1 species